UCUGAACCCUACACCAUGGAUGGAAGUUAAGUCUGGAGUGAAAUACAUCACCGCUUUCCCUGCUCCCGCCGCCAUUAAAAUUGUGUUUGGCAUCUGACCACCAAGAUACAGAUAUUUCCUAGACUGUUUUGCAGCUAGGUACUUAGGUAAGUACUGCCCUGAGAUUGAAUUUAAACCAACGUAUGUAAGCAUAAAUAUUGUGUCCAAAUUGUGUACAACUUCUUGGUCAUCCCUUUAAAACUAAACCUGUUUUCCCAGCACUGCCUCUUUUUCCAUUCUGCAGAUAGUAAUGAAGAUAGGGGCCACCAUUCCCUGUGAAAAUCAAGUGGGAAAGUCCUGAGUCCUUUAAUGACUUUACAGAGGACAGAAUAAACUCC
rnacentral:lncRNA from 1 species